UGGGGAAUAUUGCACAAUGGAGGGAACUCUGAUGCAGCGACGCCGCGUGAGUGAUGAAGGAAUUCGUUUCGUAAAACUCUGUUCUAUGGGAAGAAAAGGACUGUACCAUAGGAGAAAGCUCCGGCUAAAUACGUGCCAGCAGCCGCGGUAAUACGUAUGGAGCGAGCGUUGUCCGGAAUUAUUGGGCGUAAAGGGUGCGCAGGCGGCUUUACAAGUUGGAUGUGAAAUAUUGUGGCUCAACCACAAACGUGCAUCCAAAACUGCAAAGCUUGAGUUAAGGAGAGGUAAGUGGAAUACCUGGUGUAGCGGUAGAAUGCGUAGAUAUCAGGAGGAAUACCGGUAGCGAAGGCGACUUACUGGACUUAAACUGACGCUCAGGCACGAAAGCGUGGGGAGCAAACAGG
rnacentral:rRNA from 1 species